UGCCAGCCGCCGCGGUAAUACGGAGGGUGCAAGCGUUAAUCGGAAUCACUGGGCGUAAAGAGCACGUAGGCGGCUAAGUAAGUUGGAUGUGAAAGCCCCGGGCUUAACCUGGGGACUGCACUCAAUACUGCUUAGCUAGAAUAUGGUAGAGGGAGGUAGAAUUUCCGGUGUAGCGGUGAAAUGCGUAGAGAUCGGAGGAACACCAGUGGCGAAGGCGGCUUUCUGGACCGAUACUGACGCUGAGACGCGAAAGCGUGGGGAGCAAACAGGAUUAGAUA
rnacentral:rRNA from 1 species